ensembl:lncRNA
GCCUUAUCCAGGCUGAACAGCCCCAGCUCUCAGCCUGUCCUCGUAUGGGAGGUGUUCCAAACCAGACUGAAUUCAUUUAGUGUCACUGACCAGGAAAGAGAAGCCUGAGAUGAAAUGUCCCAGAAAUAGUGAGUGAAGGAAGAACUACUUGGAGUGCUGCAAAAUGUUUUCAAGGACAUACCUAAAAAGGCAGGAAAUUUUGGACACUAGUUCUCAAGAGUGUAAUUCCCCUCAAACAUCAUAUAGGAAAUGCUCAUGGAUAGAACAUCUGCUUCUACGGCUGUUCUGCAUCCCCCAGUGAGAGGAUACACCUCAAAAGGUCCAAGAGCGUAUAGGCAG